CUCCGGUGGUAUGAGAUGGACCCGCGUCUGAUUAGGUAGUUGGUGGGGUAACGGCCUACCAAGCCAACGAUCAGUAGCCGACCUGAGAGGGUGACCGGCCACAUUGGGACUGAGACACGGCCCAAACUCCUACGGGAGGCAGCAGUGGGGAAUAUUGCACAAUGGGGGAAACCCUGAUGCAGCAACGCCGCGUGAGUGAAGAAGUAUUUCGGUAUGUAAAGCUCUAUCAGCAGGGAAGAUAAUGACGGUACCUGACUAAGAAGCUCCGGCUAAAUACGUGCCAGCAGCCGCGGUAAUACGUAUGGAGCAAGCGUUAUCCGGAUUUACUGGGUGUAAAGGGUGCGUAGGUGGCAGUGCAAGUCAGAUGUGAAAGGCCGGGGCUCAACCCCGGAGCUGCAUUUGAAACUGCUCGGCUAGAGUACAGGAGAGGCAGGCGGAAUUCCUAGUGUAGCGGUGAAAUGCGUAGAUAUUAGGA
rnacentral:rRNA from 1 species